CGAAAUGAGAGCGGCGCGCCUCUGCCGGGUGUUCCCCCUGCCCGGGCGGGGAGGCUGGAGAGAGCGCGCGCGAGAAUACAGCCAGAGAGACUGUGCGCGAGAGAUCGGGCGAGCGGGCGAGAGCAGGAGUCAGUCACUUUGGAGCCUCCGGAGCGCUGUCUGCAAAGAGUGGUGCGUGUGCGUGUGUGAGUGCGCGCGUGUGCGCGCGUGUGUAGCGGUGGGAGGGGGAGUCCCUGGCGUACUCCAACAUCAAACGGAGCCCCGCGCGGAGGGAAGAGAAUCCGGAGCGACGGCACAACAGCUGAUCCCACACUUAACCCCUCGCCCGCCGGCACCGGGGCAGCCCUCCCUCGCGCCCUCCCACGCUCGGGCUCCUGCGCGCCCUUCCUCCUCCCCGCUGCCAGCAGUUGCUCCCGGCCUAGGGGUCUGGAAUCUCCGUUUGCCCCCGCUCCGUCCUCCGGCCGCUGCGGAGAGGAGGAGCAGCUCCGCCGGCUCUGCGGCCGACCGACCGGAAGGCGCCUUGUCCUGUUUGGCGUUCAGAGAAGCGCCUCUCCUAAGGGAGGCCGGCUCAGUGGCAGGGAUGUCGGUGAUGUAAUGAGGGCAUCUACGCAGAGGCUUCCGCGCCGGGGAAGGCUUCUCUGGCUGCCCAGGGCUUGGAAAUCCAACCAGAGCCUCCAGGAGCGUCUCCUGCCCUCCUGCUGGCCCCCAGACCCCAUCAUACAUCCCAGCCUCCUGCCACAGGCACUUGGUCUUGUGGAUACUUAGAUGGGGGUGGGGGACACGGGCACCGGCCACAAUGCAUCCUCCUCUCCCUGUACCCGGACACAGUGGACUUGACGUGUUUCGCUCCCAUGGGACAGGCGUGCAUAGGUCCCCACUUCCUUGCCCCAUUCAGCAUGUGGCAGAGGUCUCGGCAGUGCCCCUUGUUCCACCACUGUGAGUGUGCACACACCUGCAGCUUCGGCGGCCACACACACACCCACUGGCCUGCCCCGAGUCCACACUCUCCAGAGGCCCCCUGGAUCAAGCUCAGUUUACUAGGAUAAGCCACAGCCCUGCACCUGGUCACCUGUGUGCCUCUCUGCCCAGCCACCUGCCUUCCAGCCUCACCUCCAGAUUGCACUGGGCCCAGGAGCAUGUCUGGACACCUGCCUCCAUCAGGCGGCUCAUCACACCCAGCUCCAGAGAGAGGACUGAGAAUAGCAGAAUGGAAUGAAAAUAAUACCUCCAGAAAAAGGAUCUGAACAACCUGUGUGUUUGGCUUAUUUCUUGGGACAGGGGCUGUGUGCCUGCUGCCUCUUAUGCAGUGCUUCAGCACGAGCCAGUUACCGAAUAGCACGCACCUCAGUGCUCUGCUGUGAUUGUUUCAGAGUGUCACGCAGGCCUGACUCUGUGGACCCCACCAGCAGGAACCAUGCCCUCAUCACCUCCUACCGCCAGUACCUGGCACCAGGGUGGUACAAAGUUUUUCAGAUUCCCCAGGCCCCGUGCGGCCCUCCCGAGUCCCUGAUGCCUUGUGGACUGGGGUGGGUGGCCCUGAGCAGGGGGUGGGGGAAGCCUGUGCUCCUGGUGGCUCUGCUGCCCCCGCUCCUGGGGUGGAGGGAGGCUGCGUGCUGGGAAGAGCUGUCACUCCAGUGCUAAUAUUCACUACUUAAAAAAAGAGGCAAGAAAAAAUAUCCCAUUCGCCCUGAAUCUGAGAAGGGCCUUGUUAGGCAGGCAGGAACUGAGCUGUAAUUAUUUCUGCGCUCCUGGGCACCACUAUAAAUAUCAGGCAAGGGAGGCACCUCAAAAGGUUCCGAUGGUUCCAAGGCUUUGGAGAUCUCCUGGCUCCUUCCUGCCCCCAUCCUAUGUCACCUUCCCUGGUAGGGGCCCUGGAGGGUGCAGGCACUGCCUCUCCUCCAGUUGGGCAGGGCGUGUCUUCCCCAGCUUCCCUGAGCGUGCCUGCCUGGGAAAUCCUGGCCCACGUAACCUUGCCAGAUGCCCUAAAUCUCUUCGGUGUGUACCUCUGUGAAAUGGACACACAGGAUUCUCCCUGGGAGAGCAUUUGCUAAAAGGCGUGCAGGGGAAUACUAGCCUCCAAGGUGGCCUGUGUUUUUAACAAAAGGUGGGCCAAAUGAGUCCUGUGGUCAGAUGACUUGGGGGAGUGUUUCUUCUGACCCCUACCCAUGUCCUUUGGAAAUUCCCAAGGUGGCACAUGGCAAAUCACAGCAGAAAGGAAGCAACUCCACACUCCCUUUAGGGGAGGAAGGGGAGUGAAUUCCUCAUCCUCCUCCCCCUCUUCCCCCCCAGGCGCCCAGGCCGACCAUCCUUGGGCUUCCCCCGAGCCGUGAGGACAGAGUGCAGCUUGGCAGCGGCGUUCCCAGGACAAGGAGUGAGCUCACAGUCUCUGGUUGCAGCUCUGCUCGGCUGCGCCAAGCCGCGCCUUAAUCGACAAAUACAUUGUGCCUUCUGCAGAGCCAGACCUUCCUGCCCCAGCCCUGGGGUAUUUGGCCUGGGCUUGGGCAUGGGCACUGGGGGACGAAAGAGGCAGAGUGGCAGAACUGGAUCUCCACAGUGGGGUGGGGUGCGCAUGGUUCAGGGGUGGGAGGAUGUGUGUGUGCCUGUGGGUAUGUGAUGGGCUGUGGGGAGAGCCAGGAAGCCACUCUGACCAGCUAGAGUCCUGUAUCACCAUGGAAUACUUUCCAGGGGGAUUAAUGUCCCAAUUCGGCAGCCAGGGCAACAGGGUUGGAGUCAGGGAGAAGCCCCCACUCAGGCUUUCAUAGGAUGCCCCCAGCAGACACCAUGGGGCAAGGUCAGGCUGGGGAUGGGAAACUCGUCAGCCUUUUUUUUAAAAAAAAUGUAGAAAUUAUCAGAUUCCCAGAGGAGGCGGCUUCCUUACAUCAGGAGUCGAGGCCUGCUUGCACUUUGUUCUGGCCUGUUGAAUCUCCCCAGAAGGGCAGAAAAGCCGGUAGAGGGUCCCUGCAAGCAGGGGUGAAGCAAGCCCAGGGGUGAAGCAAGCCCAGGGAUGAGCCGUCGAUGCAGCCCUGGCAGGUGAGGUGUCGCUGGAGGUGGCCAGCAGAGGGCCCACUCACACCACCUUCACCGGCCAGCCUGCGAGAAAGGGCUGCUGGGGUGCUCCCCACCCCCAACCCCCUCUGCCUCCCUCUGCCAGGGGUCCUCAGCAGUGCAGAGGGAAAGCUAAGCCCAGCCCAGGCUGCCGGGGCCAGCACCCACCUUCCGGCUCAGCGGGGGUCCCCCACCCACUGGCACUGUCCCCCUGGCCCCAGCAGAGACUGCAGCAAAAGUAAAAAUCGGCGUGCAAAGGAAGUUUAUUUAUCUAUUUAAUUAAGAGGCGUUUGCCAGCCACAUUCGGGUCCAUCCGUCUCACUUACAACUAUGUCCCAGCAAAAUUAAACAUAAUAAAUACAGGGAGACUGAAAGCGAAGGGCACACUUGAGAUAUAUGGGCAGAGCCAGGAGUUGCACAGGGUUGCAGUUAUAAGCACAUCUUUCUCUUGCAAGUUCCUCUCCCCUCGGGGGCCCAGGAGCCGGAGGAAUGCGCUCAGAGAAGGGGCUGUGGGUGCCGCUCACUCUGCUCCUUCCACUCAGCACUGUUGCCAAGCUUUAUUUAUUUUAAAUGAGCCCCCAGGACUUCUCCCUUCUCCUCUUCUGUGGAAGGGGAGCGAGCUCUACGCCGAGCAAAAGGAACAUCUGAAAGCAGCCGGCACUGUGAUGUUCCACCCCGGGGCUCGGUGGGUAAGAGGCCUUGGAAGCUGCGGCCCUGGAAAGCUCGUUGCAAGCUUCUGCUGCAUCUGGGCCAUGAGCUCCUGGCAAGGAGACAGCCUGGGCUGAGCAGAGCCUGGGAGAAACAGAUCUUUGGUCUUCAGUGCCAGCUGUGGCCAAGCCACCGUUUGGCAAACUGGGCCCAGAAUCCCACAGAAGCCGAAGUAAGAGGGGGGCACUUUGAUUUCUGUCUCUCAUCUGAAGGCUCAAGAGCCUGGCCAUUUGCUUAAACUUCCCAGGAACAGAAGCACACAGAGGGGGAGAAUGGCAAUUUAUUAUUAUUGAUUGCUAACUGUAACAAUACCUUGUAUCUGCUCAGUGCUUUCCUAACCUUUUCAAAGAGCCUUCACGUAUCUCACCUGAUCAUCACAAGUUAGGUAGGGAAGGUGUAAUGAUGCCCAUUCGAUAUAUGAUGACCCUUUUAGGAUCACAGAGGUGGUCCAAGGUCACACAACUAGUUAGAGGCAGCGUCUGGGCCAGAAGGCAAGACUUGGAACUUGGAUUUACGGGAGCCGUUUUCUUCCCUUCGACUACUGUGCUGGGCUUAUGCCCUUCUGUGAACAUGCCCAUCGUUAGUCCUUGGCUCUCCCUCCUAACAGGAUCAACCCCAAACCAAAUCUGUUAAUGUAAUAGUCAUUUGCAAUAGCCUGGGCAUUUACUAAUCACACCGCUGCUCCGUCUGUGCAGCAAUUAUCUCGAAUUUCCUCUUUCUCAUUAGGCAGGAGGUCGCGAGGACUCAGUGGGUUGCUGAGCCUUGUGAUGACGCCGAGGAGAAGAGCUGCUGCUGGACCAAGGAAGCCCUUCCUCAGCAUUCCUAGCUGAUCUUCCAUGCAGUGCCCAAUUUCCUGGGCCCUCACCCCACGCUCAGCUGACCCACCAGCCCUGAGCCCUCCUGUCCUGCCCAAGCCUGUGCAUAUGUGCUUGGUACCCUUGUGCCCAGACCAUAGAUGGCUACAGAAAAGAGAGUACUGAACGGCUUGGGAAGUUGUAUAUUUGCUUGGAGAUGAUGACUCCAGCUCAGACUGGGUAUCCAGUGAAGUGCCCUUGGAUGGUUGGGCCCCCACUGCAGACAUGACUGAUGACAGCCUUUGCUCCUGCCAGGGCAGGGAUCACACCAGCCAAGGAAAACGCAUAUCACUCACUGCUCCACGCAGCCCACCCAAGAGGCACUCACCACUAAAAUCACUCUUGGUACCCCCACUUGCUCUCCUUUAGCAUCAGGGUCAACUCCAGCCUCUUGCUUUGAGGUCACCUCUUUCCCCCAAUCAAAAACCAGAGUGAAGGCCGGGCACAGUGGCUCUGGCCUGUAACCCCAGCACUUUGGGAGGCCAAGGCAGGUGGAUAACCUGAGGUCAGGAGUUCGAGAUCAGCCUAGGCAACACGGUGAAACCCCGUCUCUACUAAAAAUACAAAAUUAGCCAGGUGUGGUGACACAUGCCUGUAAUCCCAGCUACUCGGGAGGCUGAGGCAGGAGAAUCACUUGAAUCUGGGAGGCGGAGGAUGCGGUGAGCCGAGAUCGUGCCAUUGCACUCCAGCCUGGGCAACAAGAGUAAAUCUCUGUCUCACCAAAAAACAAAACAAAACAAAAA